rnacentral:lncRNA from 1 species
ACUUUCUAGUAUCUAAACAUUGCUCCAACAACUCUAAUUCUUUGUUUUCCUUUUACUCUCUAUUAAACAUGGCCAUAGUUGGAGUCAAGAAUUAUAUUUCUAUACAUAUCAUAUGUAACUUUGAGAUUCUGUUUAGAAAGUUUAUAGUGGGAAUAACUAUCUCAUUUGAAUAUAUAUGUACUUGUUUCUUAAUGCUCGAAUUAGUAUAAACUCAAUGACUACUAAUGUAACACUAAUGAAAAGAAAUGUUUGUUUGAUGUGAGUUUACAAGUCUGUGAACUUCAUAAUUUAUUUAUUAUCNNNN